UAGGGAAUCUUUCGCAAUGGACGAAAGUCUGACGGAGCGACGCCGCGUGAGCGAAGAAGGCCUUCGGGUUGUAAAGCUCUGUUGUCAGGGAAGAACAAGUACUGUUCGAACAGGGCGGUACCUUGACGGUACCGGACGAGGAAGCCACGGAUAACUACGUGCCAGCAGCCGCGGUAAUACGUAGGUGGCAAGCGUUGUCCGGAAUUAUUGGGCGUAAAGCGCGCGCAGGCGGUCCCUUAAGUCUGAGUUGAAAGCCCACGGCUUAACCGUGGAGGGUCAUUGGAAACUGGGGGACUUGAGUGCAGAAGAGGAGAGCGGAAUUCCACGUGUAGCGGUGAAAUGCGUAGAGAUGUGGAGGAACACCAGUGGCGAAGGCGGCUAUCUGGUCUGUAACUGACGCUGAGGCGCGAAAGCGUGGGGAGCAAACAGG
rnacentral:rRNA from 1 species